UGCUCAGCAUGCUGCUUUCACCCGUCCAACUGCUGCACCUGCUCCGGAGCCACCAUGCUUUGGGGCUGGGGUUUCCACCUCGAGACCCCAGGCUCUCAGAGCCGUGUUUCUGCAGUGGUUUCUGAAGGUUAAGUGGUUUGCAUCAGAAGGACCUGGGGAGCUUGCUCAAAUCCCCAUCCUGAGUGCUACCUGGGCCUCCUAAAAGUGAGCUCUGAGGCUGGGUGCUGGAAUUUUAAACAGAUGCUCAUGUGAUUUUUGCCCCUAACUUUGUAUUAUGAUCAUUUUCAAUCACACACACACACACACACACACACAGCUGAAAAAGGAAGAUGACCACCCAGGUACCCACCACCUACAUCCAACAGUUAAUACCAUUUGCCAUAUUUGCUAAUGUGCACACGUGUGUGUGUGUGUGUGUGUGUGUGUGUGUGUAUUUGAACCAUUCAGGGCCAACUGCAGACACCACAGUGCUUCGCCUCUAAAUACCUCAGCUGCAUCUCCAGAGAACAAGAGCAUUCUCCUCCAUAACUCCAAUGCCAUUUUCACGUUUGAGAAAAUGUUAACAAUAAUGGAAUAAUAUCAUCGUAUAGCCCACAUUCGUAUUUCCCCAGUUCUCAAAAUGUCUUUCUUAGCUUGUCGUCUCUAGCCAGGGCCCAGGCGCCCCCAGGCGAUUCUUAAGCUGAAGUUUGAGGCUGCCUCCAGGUGGGCUGACUUCCAAGGGUGCGAGCUCACCACCCAGUGCUCCUUCUUAUGGUAUGUGCAGUUUGAAGGAGGGCGUCCCAGAAACCGCCGAAGUGGCAUCCCUAAAAGGAACACGCAGCUGGUGGAGUGCUUUCACACCCCAUGCUGGGCCGUGGGGAGCACACACACAGAAGGGACAGCAGAGGGUCCCUCCGGCACUCCCUCUACCGAUUUGCUUACUGCGCACAGGCAGCCUUCUGCUUAGUCUCCAGACAAAGCGGCUGCUCCAGGGGCAAAAGGGGAGAGUGGUGAAGCGGCUGUAUUUGGCCAUCACCAGACCCCAGGAGCUUGGAGCUCUCACUGGGAGGUCUGCGUGGAGCAGAGCUGCCGUCCUCCCCAACCCGACCAUCUCGGAGCGCUCAGGCUUUGUCAGUGGCAAGGACCAGAGCCACAGGUGACAGGCUCAGUCGGCACAUUGUCAGGGAGAGAAGGGACCCAGGAGACUUGGCGUUUUCAAGACAGGACUCCGCAGUGUGAUCCAGGGCACACAGCUAGAGCCAUCCCUUCAGUGCUCUGGGAAUGUGAGCCCGUUUGUCCCCAGAAGGGCUGCUGACAGCCCAGAGACUGCCCUCCACUGCCAGCCCUCCACCUGUUGCCCUUGGAGAUGGGCAGUGGGAGGAAGAGGUGCACCCAGAUGUGCCAAGAGCCCGACACACUUCCCCUGGCUUGAGGAGCUAGUGACCUUUUACAUCGAGAUGCAUCUACAGGAGAAGACAGUGUCCAUGAGAUCAUCUACACUGAAGGUAGGCCCUGCCUGGGUACGAAAUGACACACAGUGGGCUGAGUGUUCACAUACAGCCCCUUAGCCAGCCUGGACGGGAACGCCAGGCCCACUGGUCACAGGGCCUUCAGGCCAGUGGGACCUUAGAGACCAAGAGCCGGGGGUCCUGGGCUUUGUCCGGCCUCCAGCCCUGGCUGCUUAAGUCAAUGCUACCAGCCCUCUCUCCCCCAAUAACAUCCCCUCAACAUUUCCUCAGUGCCUCCACCUCUGUGGCCUCAGGGACUUCUUGCUGUAAACCCAGGGAACAGGAAAAGCUGCAAUUAUCCCCAUUUAAAAUAGGGAAAGUCUCAGGAGGAAAGCGGCCUGGCCAGCUUCCCACAUGUUUUGUGACAAAACAGCUGUGGUCCCAGCUCCUUCCACACCCACAUGCUGCCUCCUCUUUCCCAGGCUUUCUCUCCCAUGUCUCUCCUCCUCUCCUGUGCCCCUUCCUCUGUGUCACAUUUUAUGUACUAAAGGGAGAAAAACAUGAUCUGCCAACAUAAGGAUACAGAAAUACUUGGCACUCUGGGUUUCCCGGGAUUUGGGCCCCCAGACCUUUGUCUUCCACAGUCACCCCCAAGUCCUGUGUGCAAGUGACCUCAAAGGGUCCCCAGAGCUGAAGAUAGCCGAGGCACUCACCUCCAUACUGCCACCAGAAGAGGAGGGGGAGGAGGAUGGGAUGAAGGAGAAGAGUGGGACAGGAAAAGGAAGGUGGACAAAGGGCCUUAAGGAAGGUUGAUUAAGGACAAGGCAGGGGGCGCUUGGGUGGCUCAGCCGGUUAAGUGUCCAACUCUUGAUUUUGGCUCAGGUCAUGAUCUCAUGGACCGUGAGAUCAAGCCCCCUUCGGGCUCUGUACUGACAGCAUGGAACCUGCUUGGGACUCUCUCUCCCUCGCUCUGUGCCCCUCCAAUGCUCACACCCU